rnacentral:rRNA from 1 species
UACGUAGGGUGCGAGCGUUGUCCGGAAUUAUUGGGCGUAAAGAGCUCGUAGGCGGUUUGUCGCGUCGACUGUGAAAACCCGUGGCUCAACUGCGGGCUUGCGGUCGAUACGGGCGGGCUAGAGUUCGGUAGGGGAGACUGGAAUUCCUGGUGUAGCGGUGAAAUGCGCAGAUAUCAGGAGGAACACCGGUGGCGAAGGCGGGUCUCUGGGCCGAUACUGACGCUGAGGAGCGAAAGCGUGGGGAGCGAACAGG